rnacentral:rRNA from 1 species
UACGUAGGGUGCGAGCGUUGUCCGGAAUUAUUGGGCGUAAAGAGCUUGUAGGCGGUUUGUCGCGUCUGCUGUGAAAAUCCGGGGCUCAACCCCGGACUUGCAGUGGGUACGGGCAGACUAGAGUGUGGUAGGGGAGACUGGAAUUCCUGGUGUAGCGGUGAAAUGCGCAGAUAUCAGGAGGAACACCGGUGGGCGAAGGCGGGUCUCUGGGCCGAUGAACUGACGCUGGAGGAGCGAAAGCGUGGGGGAGCGAACAGGA